rnacentral:lncRNA from 1 species
UUUUAGAAAACUUCAGAGUUCUGAGACAAAAGGCAGAACCGUCCGUCAAGAGCCGUGGUCCUUCAGAAGGCAACUUUACACCACAGCCGUGGGAUUCCGUGGGGAGGUCGCAGUGUGGACAGAAGACCCAGCAGUAGCACCAAAGGCUUCCGGACUCCUGAGAGGCCCUGGAGGGUGCAGCCUUCGGGAGGAGGCUGAGGCAAGCCCACACAUCUGAGGCACAGGAAUUGUGUCCUUCAGUUUGGUGAAUUCUUCCAUCUGGAUGCUGUGGAAAGAAGAAUGUGCUUCCAUGAGAACCUGAUGAAAAGCAUUUUCCUCCUUCGAAUCAGGUGACUCAACUUUGGUGUCUUGCUAUAUGACCUCGGUGACACAGUUUCUAAAGUCUCUAAAAUGUCGCUUAUAAUCCACGCACCGGGGUUGGUGUGAGUCUUAAAUGUGACAGGAUAUGUGAGAGUGAUCUUUACGUUGUUAAGUACUUAACAAGUGUAAGUUAUUUUUAAAUAUAAAACAAUCUAUGAAGCUCUUUCUCCAAAGCAGCUGCACUGAUCCCCCCUUUGGAGAGUGUGGACGGCAAUUAAAGUCAGUUUACAAGCUUGUACACAUUCUUCACAGAAUUUGAGCUUGUUCCAACUUGUUUGUGCAGUUAAUUGGUGGCAUGGACUAUGCCAAAUGUACGUUUGUAAUUUUCUGCUUGCUGUGUAAGUAGUAGGAGUCACCCAGCUCACCGACGCUUAGGUAUUUUUCAAAAUUUGUGAAGAAGUAAAUUUACAUUUGGGUUCUUGAAAUAAAAGAAAUUUAAUGUGGGCA